GGAGGAAAGUAGGGGAUCGAAAGACCUUAUGCUUCUGGAGCGGCCGAUGUCUGAUUAGCUAGUUGGUAAGGUAAUGGCUUACCAAGGCAACGAUCAGUAGUUGGUCUGAGAGGACGGCCAGCCACACUGGGACUGAGACACGGCCCAGACUCCUACGGGAGGCAGCAGUGGGGAAUUUUGGACAAUGGGCGCAAGCCUGAUCCAGCAAUGCCGCGUGAGUGAAGAAGGCCUUCGGGUUGUAAAGCUCUUUCAGUUGAGAAGAAAAGAUUGUGACUAAUAAUUGCAAUCCAUGACGGUAUCGACAGAAGAAGCACCGGCUAACUACGUGCCAGCAGCCGCGGUAAUACGUAGGGUGCGAGCGUUAAUCGGAAUUACUGGGCGUAAAGGGUGCGCAGGCGGUUUUGUAAGUCAGAUGUGAAAUCCCCGGGCUUAACCUGGGAACUGCGUUUGAAACUACAAGGCUAG
rnacentral:rRNA from 1 species